rnacentral:rRNA from 1 species
CUCGCAAGAGUGAACUAGCUAACUGAAAUCAUAGAAUUUUUUAAAAUUCAUGAUGUCGUAAGGGAAAAUAAUGAUAAUACCUUACUAUGAGUGUCGUCCAAAUCUGGUGCCAGAAGACUCGGUAAGACCAGAGACGCAAACGUUAAUCAUCAUAAACAGGCGUAAAGGGUUUGUAGGCAGCUUUCACCAAACUAUGAUUACAAAAUAAAGUAGUUUAAUUGAAAGCUAGAAUCAAAAAGAGGUUAUAGUGUAUAACGCCUAGAGGAGGGCUGAUAUCCAUAGAUCCUAGGCAGAAUACUCAGGGCGAAGGCCACUCUCCACUACUGAUUGACGCGAGNNNCGAAGGUUAGGGUAGGAAAUAGGAUUAGAUACCCCGGUACUCCUUUCUGUAAACGAUGAAUGGUAGUCAUUAGUUUUAUAACUAGAGACGAAGUUAACACAAUAACCAUUCCGCCUUGUGAGUACUACUGCAAAGUAGAAAACAAAAAAAUUAGUCGGUCUCGAAGCAAACGGAGUGAAGCAUGCUAUUUAAUUCGAUAAUCCGCAGUCAGCAGUCAAGAAUAUUAGUCAAUGGCGGCUAUUUAAUUCGAUAAUCCGCAGUCAGCAGUCAAGAAUAUUAGUCAAUGGCGGGCUAUUUAAUUCGAUAAUCCGCAGUCAGCAGUCAAGAAUAUUAGUCAAUGGCGGGUUAUUUAAUUCGAUAAUCCGCAGUCAGCAGUCAAGAAUAUUAGUCAAUGGCUAUUUAAUC